UCUUCACAUCGCUCCUUCAGCAUGGUGUUCCUGCUGCAUUAAAAAACAUCUGACAGCAUAACUUGCUCCUCCACAGCAAAGCCCGGGAUGUGUACUGGCAGCUUAUCAUGGGCCAACACUGAAUACACACUUGGGGAAAAGUAAAACAGCAAAGUGAGACUUCCUUAGAGAACUCUCCCAACAUCUUGAGAUUUGCAUGUCAGCGCCUUCCGGAGCCAGAGAAACAGUGGUGACAGUGACCCAGAAUUUUCAAAGUGUUCAGAAGGUGCAGUGGGGCCAAGGGGUCCGAAAACUUUGAGACCAGGCUCCUUUGAACACAAGUGCACCUCUAAAUACCUCCGUGGAUCUUCAUCUAGACUCACAUUGCUCUUGGAUAAAGACAGUUAUCGCUGCGCAUAUUCACAGCAUCCUGGAGGCAUACGGUGAGAUCUAAAAGCAUGUGCAGGCUUUUUUGGUGCUGAUAUAUAGGUUUAGACCUUUGUGCUUCUAGACAAAUGAAGGCCGCACACUCAGAUCAAGUACUGCUUGACAAUUGUCCUCACUACUGAAUUGCCACUUAAUUGCCUGACUUGGUUUUAGACUGUACUCAAGAAGAGUCUUCUACAGAGAGGGGUAAG